UUGUUACAUUUGCCGGCUUCAUUAUCCUCGUAUCGUUGAUUUUUUACUCUAAGUUUAAAUUUUAUAAAAAUUAUUUGCGGGACCUGAUUUAUAUGACUUGGCCAGGAAGCUCAAUACAAUAAUGCUAUAGAGGGUCGUGCUAAGCGCUUUGCACUGAACUUUCUGGGUACACUAGAAAUCGUUAAAACCUGCUUCUUUUUAGGACCCACAAUUUUUUUUAUUGUUUGGGAUUUUCUCUUAAAAGGGACUUUUUUUCAAUUUUACUAGUGAAGCAUAUGAACCC